GAUGAACGCUGGCGGCGUGCCUAAUACAUGCAAGUCGAGCGGACGGAUGAGAAGCUUGCUUCUCUGAUGUUAGCGGCGGACGGGUGAGUAACACGUGGAUAACCUACCUAUAAGACUGGGAUAACUUCGGGAAACCGGAGCUAAUACCGGAUAAUAUUUUGAACCGCAUGGUUCAAAAGCGAAAGACGGUCUUGCUGUCACUUAUAGAUGGAUCCGCGCUGCAUUAGCUAGUUGGUAAGGUAACGGCUUACCAAGGCAACGAUGCAUAGCCGACCUGAGAGGGUGAUCGGCCACACUGGAACUGAGACACGGUCCAGACUCCUACGGGAGGCAGCAGUAGGGAAUCUUCCGCAAUGGGCGAAAGCCUGACGGAGCAACGCCGCGUGAGUGAUGAAGGUCUUCGGAUCGUAAAACUCUGUUAUUAGGGAAGAACAUAUGUGUAAGUAACUGUGCACAUCUUGACGGUACCUAAUCAGAAAGCCACGGCUAACUACGUG
rnacentral:rRNA from 1 species